CCCGGGGAAUGACGGCUCCCUCUCCACCCCCUCAGGCCCUCGGUUCCUCCCCGCAGGCCUCGGGCUCUCUCUCUGAAGCGGGCCCUGCCCUGCCCUGCCCUGCGGGCCCCCGCCGCCUCACCGCGGUGCCGCCGCCCCUGACCCAGCCCGCGUCAGCGGCACUCACUGCGGCGGGAGCUGCAGGGCCGGGCCGCCGCGGCGCUGGAAGGCACCGUCCACGAAGACGCCGUUCUUGCCGAGGCAGCGCAGGAAAUUUCUUCUGAGUGGAAGGUGCUGUUUAAAGCCAGCGCCACCACCGAGAUAAAUCCCAGCUUCAUGCAAAAUGUGAUCAAGCGCUGUACAGAAACAGGAUUCCUCCAAGCUGCCUGAUGGGUUGUGCUUAGCAUCGUGUCUCACCAGCUCUCCCGCCUGCGGCAUCCGUUCCCUAAGCUCCUUGUGCUGCAAGGAACAGAGGGCUCUGCUCGGCUCUAAUCCACCCCGCAACAGCAUCAAACCAAGGGCCCUUCAGACAAGGAAACGCUUUGCGCUCCUCCAGUCAGCUAAUCCUGCUUAAAGUCAAGCUGGCUGCCCCAGUGUAAAUGCCUGAUGUAAAUGCACUCGAAAUUGUUUGAAUUAAAUUAAUCUCAUCCCGUAUGGCUGGA